rnacentral:rRNA from 1 species
UACGUAGGGUGCAAGCGUUGUCCGGAAUUAUUGGGCGUAAAGAGCUCGUAGGCGGUUUGUCGCGUCUGCUGUGAAAACGCGAGGCUCAACCUCGCGCCUGCAGUGGGUACGGGCAGACUAGAGUGCGGUAGGGGAGAUUGGAAUUCCUGGUGUAGCGGUGGAAUGCGCAGAUAUCAGGAGGAACACCGAUGGCGAAGGCAGAUCUCUGGGCCGUAACUGACGCUGAGGAGCGAAAGCAUGGGUAGCAAACAGG